GUGUUCAUUGAAAGGAGAGACGGUUGGCAUCUCCCCUGACAGUGACAAGGACGGGAACAGGACUGACUGAGAGAGAGAGAACGAGGAUAAAAUAUAUAU
rnacentral:ncRNA from 1 species